AGUGAACGCUGGCGGUAGGCCUAACACAUGCAAGUCGAACGGCAGCACAGUAAGAGCUUGCUCUUACGGGUGGCGAGUGGCGGACGGGUGAGGAAUACAUCGGAAUCUACUUUUUCGUGGGGGAUAACGUAGGGAAACUUACGCUAAUACCGCAUACGACCUACGGGUGAAAGCAGGGGAUCUUCGGACCUUGCGCGAUUGAAUGCGCCGAUGUCGGAUUAGCUAGUUGGCGGGGUAAAGGCCCACCAAGGCGACGAUCCGUAGCUGGUCUGAGAGGAUGAUCAGCCGCACGGGAGCUGAGACACGGUCCAGGCGCCUACGGGAGGCAGCAGAGGGGAAUAGUGGGCAAUGGGCGCAAGCCUGAUCCAGCCAGACCGCGUGGGUGAAGAAGACCUUCGGGUUGUAAAGCCCUUUUGUUGGGAAAGAAAAGCAGCAGGUUAAUACCCCGCUGUUCUGACGGUACCCAAAGAAUAAGCACCGGCUAACUUCGUG
rnacentral:rRNA from 1 species